rnacentral:lncRNA from 1 species
UGUUUCAGCUCUGCUAAGUAUUCUGAUCGACAUGGUUGCUCCCCGGCGGAAGGCUGCUGCCAGAAAUACUGAGGAGGCCCAGACAAGGGUCCCAAGCUCUCAGAAACGGGAGGCAGCAACCAAGAAGACUGCAGAGACCCAGACUGAGGUCCUGCACAUUCCCUAUAGGAAGGCUGCUGCCAAAAAGUCUGAGGAGACUCAGACUGAGCCCCCAGCCCGAGAUGCUGGUGUGCAGGUCUCUGGCUGUACUGAGUGCCAGAGCCUGGCCCUUGCAGUGCUGGGUGAGGGAGGUAGUGAUUGUGUUCACUGCGACCAGGUGAACUACUUGCUCAGCCUCGUAGUUGACCUGAAGGAGGAAGUGGGGAGGCUGAGGACUAUAAAAGAGUGUGAGAGGGAGAUUGACUGGUGGCGUCAGUCCCUCUCAGCCUCAGGUUCUCUGCACACAGCUGAGGCUCCUAAUGGAGCAUGUCAGCCCCGGCCACCUCACAAACAGGUGGUAAAGGGGAACCAGCCAGCUGACAGCACUGCGGUGAGCCCCCUGUUCUCUCUUCCCCCCAGCAGCAAUUUGAGAAGGGAGGAGGAGUGGAAACAGGUACCUGCUUGGCAGAGGGGUCAUCCCACAUCCCGACCAUCCCCGGCUCCACAGGUGCCUCUGCGUAACAGGUUUGAGGCCCUGGAACUUGAGAGGGGGACUAGUGAGAGGGUGGAGACAGGUUCACCCAUGAGGUUGCCUCAGGCGAAGCGGUCAACCCCAAGCCUCAAGACUGCUUCUACCCAUAAAGACAGAAGGGUGAUUGUUGUCGGUGACUCCCUUCUGCAAGGAACAGAAGGCCCUAUAUGCCGGCCCAACCCUACCCGCAGAGGUGUGCUGCCUUCCUGGGGCAUGGGUCAGGGACAUUUCAAAGAUAAUUCCUGGAUUGAUUCAGCCUUCAGAUUACUACCCACUUUUAAUAAUUCAGUAUGGCAGUGAAGAAGUUGAUAAGGAAAGCCUGAGGUCUAUCAAGAAAGACUUCAGGGGAAUGGGGCGAAUACUUGAAGGAGCCGGGGUGCAGGUGGUCUUAU